AGAGUGGGCCGGAUGGCCGCCGGCAGCGGUCGUUGGCCGCCAUCUCGGCUCUUUCGGACCGCUGCGGGAGGAAAGUCCGGGCUCCGCAGGACACGGUGAUGGGUAACACCCACCGGCCGCAAGGCCAGGGAAAGUGCAACAGAAAGCAAACCGCCUCGCGGGCUUCGGCCCGCGCGGUAAGGGUGAAACGGUGAGGUAAGAGCUCACCAGCAGGCCGGGUGACCGGUCUGGCUAGGCAAACCCCACCGGGAGCAAGGUCAAGUAGGAAGCAGGCCGGCCCCGGCGAGCCCUUCGCCGGAGGCCCGCCGCGGACUGGUCCGGUCCGCUAUCGACUUCCGGGUAGACCGCUUGAGGCGCCGAGCAAUCGGCGUCCUAGAGAAAUGGCCAUCGCCCGGCCGUCCUCGGCCGGGAACAGAACCCGGCUUACAGGCCCGCUCUGGUA
rnacentral:RNase_P_RNA from 1 species